CCUACGGGUGGCAGCAGUGGGGAAUAUUGGACAAUGGGGGCAACCCUGAUCCAGCCAUGCCGCGUGUGUGAAGAAGGCCCUCGGGUUGUAAAGCACUUUCAGUGAGGAAGAACGCCUGGUGGUUAAUACCCAUCAGGAAAGACAUCACUCACAGAAGAAGCACCGGCUAACUCCGUGCCAGCAGCCGCGGUAAUACGGAGGGUGCGAGCGUUAAUCGGAAUUACUGGGCGUAAAGCGCGCGUAGGUGGCUUGAUAAGCCGGUUGUGAAAGCCCCGGGCUCAACCUGGGAACGGCAUCCGGAACUGUCAAGCUAGAGUGCAAGAGAGGAAGGUAGAAUUCCCGGUGUAGCGGUGAAAUGCGUAGAGAUCGGGAGGAAUACCAGUGGCGAAGGCGGCCUUCUGGACUGACACUGACACUGAGGUGCGAAAGCGUGGGUAGCAAACAGGAUUAGAUACCCGAGUAGUC
rnacentral:rRNA from 1 species